rnacentral:rRNA from 1 species
CGCUCUCUGGGAUUAAAAUAUAGAGAGUCGGGCCUGCUCAGUGGAAUAUCUAAACAGCCGCAGUACCCUGACUGUGCAAAGGUAGCAUAAUAAAUUGCUUUUUAAUUAAAGGCUAGAAUGAAUGGUUUAACGAAGGUUUAGCUGUCUCUUUUAUACUAAAUAAAAAUUAAUUUUUAGGUGCAGAAGCCUAAAUAAACUUGAAAGACGGAAAGACCCUAUUGAGCUUAGGAAUAUUUAUAAGCUAUAUGUAUGUAAUAGAUUCAUUUGGUUGGGGCAACAAAAGAACAUAGCUAGCUUCUUUUUAGUAAAUAAAUUUAUAUAUUUUUUGAUCCGCUAAGUUGCGAUAAAAGAUCAAGUUACCAUAGGGAUAACAGCGUAAUCUUUUUGGAGAGCCCUUAUUGAAAAAAAGGUUUACGACCUCGAUGUUGGAUUAAGAGUGCUAGUUGGUGUAAAAGCUAAUAUAAGCUGGUCUGUUCGACCAUUAAAUUCUUACA